AAACGACUUUUGAAAAAUAAAAGUUUGUUUACACUGUUAGACGUACAUGGUACAUAAUAUUACUACAUUAUUCAAUACUUUUUAUUUUUAAGUAAAUGCAAUUAUAUCGGAUCUCGCCUUUUGUACGUAUAAUAAUUGACUCGUUACUAAAUUUGAAACCGAUAGUACGCAAAGACCGAAUGUUUCUUCGACUAAUUUUUCUAUGAUAUGACGACAGAACAAGGUUGACCGAUGAACGUAAUUACUCUGUGACUAUUGACUACUUGAACGACGACGUGUAUCAUACUUUCGUGAUUUAGUCAUUUGAACCCACUCGUCACUCUCGUCAUGUCCGAGAAAAAAGCCAAAAAUAAUGCCGACUGGAAGAAACGUGUAAAAGCUGAGUAUUUCAGAUUACUGCAGGCCAAAAAAACAAAGAAAGACGAUGACAAUGUAUUAGCAUGCAUGAAUAAUCAG